GGAAUAUUGGACAAUGGGGGCAACCCUGAUCCAGCAAUGCCGCGUGUGUGAAGAAGGCCUGCGGGUUGUAAAGCACUUUCGUUGGGGAGGAGAGUGUGUUGUUUAAUAGAUGACACAUGAGACGUUACCCAAAUAAGAAGCACCGGCUAACUCUGUGCAAGCAGCCGCGGUAAUACAGAGGGUGCAAGCGUUAAUCGGAAUUACUGGGCGUAAAGCGCACGUAGGUGGAUAUAUAAGUUGGAUGUGAAAGCCCUGGGCUUAACCUGGGAAAGUCAUCCGAGACUGUGUAUCUAGAGUACUGUAGAGGGAAGUGGAAUUUCCGGUGUAGCGGUGAAAUGCGUAGAUAUCGGAAGGAACACCAGUGGCGAAGGCGGCUUCCUGGACAGAUACUGACACUGAGGAGCGAAAGCGUGGGGAGCAAAC
rnacentral:rRNA from 1 species